GCGUUUCCACCACCAAAAGUGGGCGUGACCCGGACUGAGCCGUACUGAGCCGUACUCGUCUGGCACUCGUCUGGCAGUACUCCUCCGUUGGGGUACUGAGAUGCCUGAAAGGGUGCCGGAAAGUUCGAGCUGCACACACCCUCCGUUGAUUGGUCAAAAGAAUCGUCACUUCCGGGCGACAUGGGGAUAAAAACAAACGAACAGUACCCGCAAGGUAUUAUUCCGGUGCAUGUCGUGCAAAACUUUAGCUUGGGCGAACAAGGAGGUGGAGACGUUCCGAAAUUGUUGCUGGACAACUUCCAUGGUAGCUCUUAGUUUAAUGUGCCGCGUUACUCUUUUCCAUUGUUUUUUUCGAGCAGGCUACACUGUGUCGCGCUGCUAUGAUGUCACGAUGUUUACGUAGCUGCCGCGGCGAUCGACAUCUGGCCUACCAUAAGGGUACUGUCGGCGGUGAAACGCGACCUCGGAACUGAGCUGGGCUAUAACCCCCCCUCACUACUGGACUGAGGCACACCGAACCACACCCUCCGGCCUGCCUGGCCAGGAAGCCACGACAAGCAGACUGGAACAGAGUGAGGUUCCUCCGGGUCUGCACGUCACGCUGCUCUUCCAACUUGUGAUGCCCAUGCUUUUUGGUCAGGUGUGGCGCCAGCACAUCAAAGCGUCGCCGGAAUUCAGAGAACACCAUGUGAUCAGGGUACCCUGAAGCGAGUGAGGACAAAUGGAUGGUGGAUAAGAACAGCAAGAGGAGCAUUUU